rnacentral:lncRNA from 1 species
CUGAUGCCACUGGCAUUAGUGCUCUGGGCCCAGGAUGGGGCAGGGAGCAGUGAGGCAGAUGGCUUUCUCCUGGACUUCUGGGACCCAAGAACAUGGUAAAUGUCCAUGCCGUCUGUCUUUCCGCCCACAGAAUGGAGGGGAAACAUGUUCUAGGACAGCAGUCAUCAAUCUUAUUUAAGACAUGAAUCAAUCAGAAAUUCCGGUAGAAUCUAGAGACCAGAGGUCACAAACCACCUGCCUAUCGGGACCAUAUUUGACUCACUCAGAGUGUUCUGGUUGGUAUGCCAGGAUUCUCUAAAGAAAAUGUGAACUAAAUUGAGAUUUCAUCUCCAAAGAGAACCAGAUUUCUGCUUUCUCUUAAUCAGCCAUAAGGUCUGUCAAUACUGGGUCCCAUUUCCUCAAGGCAGUGAUCAACUGAAGCAGAGGAGUGAGUGCCUGCCUUAGAAGGCAUGUGCCCUCCCGUUUGCCCAAUCCUCACCCGCCCCAAGGUCUCCCCAACACUGAGCAUUGCUUGCCUUUUGUCAUCACCCUUGCAUUACUGUUUCUUAUGGUGGAGAGAUAUUUAUUUGGACCCAAGUCUCUACCAGAAGUGACGAAAUAAAAGACAGACCCAGAAGGCUGAAUAUGUCAGAAUAAAAGGGAGAAGGCAUAUUUCUCUGUGGAAGAAAAUAAUAUUCCUCUGUGUUUAAGAGACUGGGUUCUCACACCUGAUGUAUUUCAUUCUUCUAUAUUCCCACCUAGCUCUGCAGGCAUUUAUUGGCAGGCUACACCUAAGACUUUCUCUGCAGAAAAAUGUUCUAGAUGCACAGAUUUGGGGGCUUGAUUGACAACCUGACACCUCACUCUAAAUCCGCAUGGGUCUGUUGACCUCAGCUGAGAAACCAAGUCAUGCUGAAGACCUGGAAAUCCCAGCAGGCUGCAAACCAGCUGCAACUACAAUGGGUCAGCCCUUUUGAGAUGCUGCUGACUACCCACUUAUCUGCCAAGUUAGCCAGUGUUAAGCCAUGGAUUCACCACGCUCAGAUAAAACCUGCCCCUCUGGGAUCCCUCCAGAAAAAAACAGGCAUGCUGUUGUGAACCCUAAGAUGGCCUUAAGUUAAUAUUCAAUGCCCAGCCAAAGACCCUAAAUAAGAAGUCAUAAAGGAAACAUGUGCUUUUCAGGUACCAAUCACCCUCCAGAUCUAAGAAUGGCUUCAGGCUGGGGCUGCAGUCACCUCUUUGCCCAGCUUCUCCCCUGCCCUAUUCUGCUUCACUUGCAUCCUUAAAGGUUCCACCCAAGAGCUCUUCUACAAGAAAGCACCUAUAAAGCCAGACACAUUGGCUUAUGCCUAUAAUCCUAGCACUUUGGGAGGCCAAGGUAGGAGGAUGGCUUGAGGCCAGGAGUUCAAGACCAGCCUGGGCAACUUAGUGAGGCCCCGUCUCUAUAAAAAAUAAAAAAAUUAACCAGGUGUGGUGGUGCACGUCUCUAGUCUCAGCUACUCAGGAGGCUGUGGCAGGAAGAUGGCUUGAGCCCAGGAGGUUGAGGCUGCAGUGAACUAAGAUCAUGCCACUGCACCCAUCUUGGGCAACAGAAUGAGAUCCUGUCUCUAAAAAAAUAAAAACAAUUUACAACAGUAAGCACCUGUACACAAGCCCCAUCUCCAGUCCUGUUUCUAGGGCUUCCAAUUUAACACACCUAGAGGCUGGGCAUAGUAGCUCAUGCCUGUAAUCCCAAUACUUUGGGAGGCUGAGGCAAGUGAAGCACUUGAGGUCAGGAGUUCGAGACCAGCCUGGCCAACAUGGCAAAACCCCAUCUCUACUAAAAAUGCAAACAUUAGCUGGGCAUGGUGGCACAUGCCUGUAAUCCCAGCUACUCGGGAGGCUGAGACAGGAGAAUCACUUGAACCCAGGAGGUGGAGGUUACAGUGAGCCAAGAUCACACCACUGUACCACAGCCUGAGCAACGAAAGAAGACUCUGUCUAAAAAAAGUAAAAAAUAAAAUAAAACACACCUGGAGCUUUCUA